GACGAACGCUGGCGGCGUGCUUAACACAUGCAAGUCGAACGGAAAGGCCCUGCUUUUGUGGGGUUCUCGAGUGGCGAACGGGUGAGUAACACGUGAGUAACCUGCCCUUGACUUUGGGAUAACUUCAGGAAACUGGGGCUAAUACCGGAUAGGAGCUCCUGCUGCAUGGUGGGGGUUGGAAAGUUUCGGCGGUUGGGGAUGGACUCGCGGCUUAUCAGCUUGUUGGUGGGGUAGUGGCUUACCAAGGCUUUGACGGGUAGCCGGCCUGAGAGGGUGACCGGCCACAUUGGGAGUGAGAUACGGCCCAGACUCAUACGGGAGGGAGGAGUGGGGAAUAUUGCAAAAUGGGCGGAAGCCUGAUGCAGCAACGCCGCGUGCGGGAUGACGGCCUUCGGGUUGUAAACCGCUUUCGCCUGUGACGAAGCGUGAGUGACGGUAAUGGGUAAAGAAGCACCGGCUAACUACGU
rnacentral:rRNA from 1 species